UGGUAACAAGAUGGCUCUAUGAGCUGGCCAUACUCAGUAGUCAGAGUGAAACCGGCCAUGUAAAAACGACAAAGCAUAGGAUUCAGUGUAGGAGCUUGGGCCCCGUGGUAUCAGUUGACUUACAGACUGAGUUCAACCACAUGGGCAACAUAUUAAUCAAUCAUACCUAUGCAAUAAAGUCUUCAUAAAAACUAUGGACAACAAAGUUCUGAGUGUUCAGAAAUAUCAAAUAUGAGCUGAAUAAGUAGUGGAAAGACAAGGAUUCAUCCGUUCCACAGACUACAAACCUGGCCGAUAGAGGGAAUAUUUCAUUUUAGAUCAAAUGAUUCACUGUCAUCUUUGUCUGAUAUUACAACAUAGUGACCACACAACUAUCCUCAAUGGUAUUUGACUACAUGGAUUCUGUAAAAAGAUGAAGCUUAAGAACACUAUUUUUUUUCAAGUGCAAUAUACUGUAGUCAUAAGAUGAAUGGGGUCUUGUCCAUAUAUCUACAUGAAAUUUAGAUAAAGCAAGCAAUGUGAAGAACACAUAAUCUCACAUUUUGCAUGUCACACUAUAAAUUCUAUACCAGGUUGUACUUCAUUUUUGCCCUGUUUUUCUCUACCAAAGGGAAACAAAUGAGGAGAGUUCACCAUAUUUGUUUAUUUAUUUAACAUUUGAAAAUCAUAAUCACAGAGUUGAACUUCAUAUUCCUUGGUGUGCUUCAUGUAGCACACCCAAGAUAUAGGUGAGUGGUGGCUUUUUUAUAGGAGAAAUUACAAAGCUUUUUUUCCUACAUCUGAAAACUCACAUCUGAAGUUUUAAAAUGUGUACCUCUCUAAAAGAUACAAUUGCUUUGUCCUCACCUGUGUGAUGAGGUUAGAUGUUGCCAUUCUGUGAAAAGCAAAACCUCAUACCAGAUGUAUUUUGAAUGAAUCCUUGAUUCACAAUGGAAGUUGCUCACAGCUAAAAUGAAAUAUGUGUUGCCUUCUCUCUAGUUUGUUUUCUCAGAUUUCUAAACACAAAGACAAAAAAGGACAGAAAACACUUUGUAUUUGCUAUAACCUUGAGAAUCAGUCCUAAGAGUUAGAUGUCAAAUUGUUGAAUUACUUG
rnacentral:lncRNA from 1 species